CAAUAGCGUAUAUUAAAGUUGUUGCGGUUAAAAAGCUCGUAGUUGGAUUUCUGCCGAGGACGACCGGUCCGCCCUCUGGGUGUGUAUCUGGUUUGGCCUGGGCAUCUUCUUGGAGAACGUAGCUGCACUUGACUGUGUGGUGCGGUGUCCAGGACUUUUACUUUGAGGAAAUUAGAGUGUUUCAAGCAGGCACACGCCUUGAAUACAUUAGCAUGGAAUAAUAAGAUAGGACCUCGGUUCUAUUUUGUUGGUUUCUAGAGCUGAGGUAAUGAUUAAUAGGGAUAGUUGGGGGCAUUCGUAUUUAACUGUCAGAGGUGAAAUUCUUUGAUUUGUUAAAGACGGACUACUGCGAAAGCAUUUGCCAAGGAUGUUUUCAUUGA
rnacentral:rRNA from 1 species